GACGAACGCUGGCGGCGUGCUUAACACAUGCAAGUCGAGCGGUAAGGCCCUUUCGGGGGUACACGAGCGGCGAACGGGUGAGUAACACGUGGGUGACCUGCCCUUAGCUCUGGGAUAAGCCUGGGAAACUGGGUCUAAUACCGGAUAUGACUCCAUAACGCAUGUUGUGGGGUGAAAGCCUUGUGCGGCUAGGGAUGGGCCCGCGGCCUAUCAGCUUGUUGGUGGGGUGAUGGCCCACCAAGGCGACGACGGGUAGCCGGCCUGAGAGGGCGACCGGCCACACUGGGGACUGAGACACGGCCCAGACUCCUACGGGAGGGCAGCAGUGGGGAAUCUUGCGCAAUGGGCGAAAGCCUGGCGCAGCGACGCCGCGUGGGGAUGACGGCC
rnacentral:rRNA from 1 species